rnacentral:rRNA from 1 species
UCGACGGCAGCACGGGAGCAAUCCUGGUGGCGAGUGGCGAACGGGUGAGUAAUAUAUCGGAACGUGCCCAGUCGUGGGGGAUAACGCAGCGAAAGCUGUGCUAAUACCGCAUACGAUCUCUGGAUGAAAGCGGGGGACUCGCAAGGGCCUCGCGCGAUUGGAGCGGCCGAUAUCAGAUUAGCUAGUUGGUGGGGUAAAAGCCCACCAAGGCGACGAUCUGUAGCUGGUCUGAGAGGACGACCAGCCACACUGGAACUGAGACACGGUCCAGACUCCUACGGGAGGCAGCAGUGGGGAAUUUUGGACAAUGGGCGCAAGCCUGAUCCAGCAAUGCCGCGUGCAGGAUGAAGGCCUUCGGGUUGUAAACUGCUUUUGUACGGAACGAAACGGUCCUUUCUAAUAAAAGGGGCUAAUGACGGUACCGUAAGAAUAAGCACCGGCUAACUACGUGCCAGCAGCCGCGGUAAUACGUAGGGUGCGAGCGUUAAUCGGAAUUACUGGGCGUAAAGCGUGCGCAGGCGGUUAUAUAAGACAGAUGUGAAAUCCCCGGGCUCAACCUGGGCACUGCAUUUGUGACUGUAUAGCUAGAGUACGGUAGAGGGGGAUGGAAUUCCGCGUGUAGCAGUGAAAUGCGUAGAUAUGCGGAGGAACACCGAUGGCGAAGGCAAUCCCCUGGACCUGUACUGACGCUCAUGCACGAAAGCGUGGGGAGCAAACAGGAUUAGAUACCCUGGUAGUCCACGCCCUAAACGAUGUCAACUGGUUGUUGGGUCUUC